rnacentral:lncRNA from 1 species
CACCCUUGUCCUUGUCCUCGGUCCGGCUUGCCUCUCUCAGAGUCAGUGGGAGCUCAUCCUCUGUCUGCAGCUUGGCCUGGCCCAGAACUGAGGCUCCCAGGAGCUCCGCAUCGCAGCAGCCGCGGCGGGGGGCCGCUCCGUGCCGCAGAGCUGGGAGCUCAGCCGCCGCUGGGGAGGGGCGGGGAGCCCAGGAAGGAAGCUGGAGGCCCAAAGAUGGAUGCUUGUAGAAGCAGGAAGCACAGGAGAGAGAAAUAAACAGCUGCCACUGCAGACUUCCAGCUUCCAUCCCCUGGGCCCUCAUUGAUUUUCUCCAUCGUUCCAACCGUGAGCGGGAGCCCCAUUAAUCACUGCUCUGCCCAUGAUGGACGGCAGCCAAGCAUGGAUGAGAACACGUUGUUCCAAUGGCCAUGAAGGAGGCCAAAGCAGGUGCUGUGGAGUGCUUAGAGCUUGGUCAGACGUCAGACACCAAGGUUAUCCACUACAUCCUGGGUCAUCACCAGUCAUCCUGACUUUUGUCCUGCCGCCAGACUUGGAUGACUCUGGAAGAGAGUAGGCUGAU